rnacentral:ncRNA from 1 species
CCGGGGCUACUCCAUUCCUAUAGCCCCGGGAUCUGGAUAAAAAAGGAGGAAAAAAACAUCCGCCGGCCGGCGGUGCGGCAGUGUGGAGACCUGCCGUAAACCCGCCAGGGUUUCGCUCUCUGACGGGAAGGUCUCAUUUGCGGAGGCAGUGAGACCGCGGCCAACGCUUAUGU